UCCCCAGAGCAACCCAACAAGGGAGGUACUGUUCAUAUCACCGUUUCCUGAUAAGGAAAUGGAGGCACAGAGAGGUGAAGUAACUUUCAGUACAUCACAUAGCCAGCCUUUGCACAUGCUGUUCCCUCUGCUUGGAACAGCCUUCUCUCCGCAAUCCCACCAGCACCGAAGGUUCAUCCAUGGCACAGCUGUCUCGUUUGUAUCCUCGUUCUUUGAGGUAUGACAGAGUUGGUGGAUUAAUAUUAGUGGAAUGAAUAACUAAAUGAGCAAGGCCUCAGACUGCCUAAGCGUCCAUUGAUUUGCACCUGAGCCAUGUGUAUGGCGUCUCUGCUGAGGCUAACUUUCCUUUGAGAAGGCUUUUCUGACAUCAGCCUCCUCCCCAAUUUGAGAUUAGGUGUACUCUAGCUCCCCCAUCAGAGCACUCAUGGCACUGCAUGCAGAGGCUCGUUUACCAGCCUGCGUCCUGCCUAUCAGUUAGGGAGCGCUGUUGAGUCACCACACAACUGACUCAGGGCCUGACAGGUAGUAGGAUGCUCAGAAAUAUUUUGUUCUUUGCCAAGAAGGGGCAGUAAAAAAAAUGUUGGCCCCUUGAACCCUAUUUUGUACUGUGCACAGGUAAAGUGUAAAUCCUUAAAAAGUGGACAGACCUUGGUUAAGAGUUUUAGUUUUAAAAGGGUCUGAUUGCUGGGACAGCAACCAUUUGAAUAUGAGCCCACAGCUUUUUACGUAAAGCUGAGUUAAUUUGUAUCUUGCACACGAUCGGGGGAAGAACAGAGAAACUGUUGAAAUAGGGAAAGAGCAUGGAGAGGCCUAUGGUUUUGUUGUGGGUAUUCUUCUCGUGGUAAGUACACCAUCUGGGAUGGGUUAGACUUGACUCGAGGGAAUGAUGGUCAGAGCAGGUCCCACACUGGCCCUGUAGCCAGAAUGCUUGGAGUGGCAGCUGGUCUGUGCAGUGGCAACAUCAGGAACAAAGGAAUGAUGAGGUCCCUUGCUCUCUGGGCGUAGACAUAGGUGGAAUCUGCCCAAGAAGGGUGUUCACACUUUAAUGUUCAUUGGAAUUCACCGUGGGCUUAAUAAAGAUGCAGAUUCCCCUAGAGGAGAGGCCCAGGAGUCUGCAUUUUACAAGCAUCCCUGGGGAUUCUGCUGUAGGUGGAUCACUGGCCUGCCCUUCAUGAAACAGUGCUUUACAAGAUGGGAAAUUCUGGAGAAAUAUUGGUAAGCGGGACGGUGCAUGGAGCGAGAAACUGUCGUUUGUCAGGUCCCUUAGACAGAGGGGAGAGUGCAGUCUGGGAAAGUCAGCUCAAGGAGCAGCUCCCGGAAGGAGGGACAUUUUGCAUUAGCCCGUGAUUAUUGUACCCCAGGGAAACCAGCUCCAGCCAAGGCUGAUGCUCUGUGCCCAGUGCCAACUUAGAAAGACAAAGAAAGAGUCAUGGUUUCCUUGACUGGACAGGAAUGUCGCCUACUCUGUGAAGUAAUGAAAUACACAUGUAAAAAUGAAGAGAGACAGAGACAGAUGGAGCAUAAUAGAGCACCAGCAGCAGUGAAGGACCAACGGAACACACACGCAGAGGAACCGGGGGGUGUUCUCAGCCUGCUUCUAGGAACGUCAUCGCCAGCAGGGGAGAAUCAGCCCUCCUCGGACCGUCCUGGGCUGGAGGCUUUUCCCGUAGUCAUCUGUGGCCAGAAGACAGUACCACUUCCUCAGGAAGGAGGCACUUGAUGAUCAAAAAGAUGCCAAAAUAGCACAUAUGCAUAUCCUUUGACCUAGCUGUUUUAUCUUAAAGAGAUUUUGUUCAAGUGGGGAAAAUAAUGUAUGCAUCUGCACGUGCAUCGUUUAUUGAAAACAUCCCAAAUGUCCAUCAGUAAUGGGACUUAUAGAUACAUAAGAUGCAGUAAAAUUACCCUUAGCUAUUAAAAGUGAUGGUAUGGGGCUUCCCUGAUGGCGCAGUGGUUGACAGUCCGCCUGCCGAUGCAGGGGACACGGGUUCGUGCCCCGGUCCGGGAGGAUCCCACAUGCCGCGGAGCGGCUGGGCCCGUGAGCCAUGGCCGCUGAGCCUGCGCGUCCGGAGCCUGUGCUCCGCAACGGGAGAGGCCACACAGUGAGAGGCCC